rnacentral:rRNA from 1 species
UACAGAGGGUGCAAGCGUUGUUCGGAAUUAUUGGGCGUAAAGGGCGUGUAGGCGGUUUGCUAAGUCAUGUGUGAAAUCCCUCGGCUUAACCGAGGAACGACGCAUGAUACUGGCAAGCUAGAGUACCAAAGAGGGGGGUGGAAUUCCCGGUGUAGCGGUGAAAUGCGUAGAUAUCUGGAGGAACACCGGUGGCGAAGGCGGCAUCCUGGACCGGUAUUGACGCUGAGGCGCGAAAGCUAGGGUAGCAAACGGGG